rnacentral:rRNA from 1 species
GAUGAACGCUGGCGGCGUGCCUAAUACAUGCAAGUCGAGCGAACGGACGAGAAGCUUGCUUCUCUGAUGUUAGCGGCGGACGGGUGAGUAACACGUGGAUAACCUACCUAUAAGACUGGGAUAACUUCGGGAAACCGUAGCUAAUACCGGAUAAUAUUUUGAACCGCAUGGUUCAAAAGUGAAAGACGGUCUUGCUGUCACUUAUAGAUGGAUCCGCGCUGCAUUAGCUAGUUGGUAAGGUAACGGCUUACCAAGGCAACGAUGCGUAGCCGACCUGAGAGGGUGAUCGGCCACACUGGAACGGAGACACGGUCCAGACUCCUACGGGAGGCAGCAGUAGGGAAUCGUCCGCAAUGGGCGAAAGCCUGACGGAGCAACGCCGCGUGAGUGAUGAAGGUCUUCGGAUCGUAAAACUCUGUUAUUAGUGAAGAACAGAUGUGUAAGUAACUGUGCACAGCUUGACGGUACCUAAUCAGAAAGCCACGGCUAACUACGUG